GUGCUGCUGAUAACGCUACUGGUGAUAAUAAUAUUGCUACUACUGCUGCUAGCGGCGAUCCAGCGGUCAUUGGUAACGAUGGUUUCGCCCCGAGCAGCAGCAGCUGCAGCAAUG
rnacentral:ribozyme from 1 species